GAAACCGGUGUUAGGAUUUGCCACGGGUCUAAUGCUCUGAACAUGCUGCAAUGCUUGGGUUAAAGUCAUUCCCUGUUUCUUCAUGAGGUAAGCAACAACUACAGUGACACUGCAAGUAAGUAUAAAAAGGAGCAAAACAUUCAGGGAACAAGGUCAAUUAAGUAAAGAACAUAAACGGGUGAAAGAAUAUAAGAAACCCGCGUGACUUUCCAACGAAGCAAUGGACAAGAACGCUACCACCUUGCUUUUUGGCUUCAUCAAUGAAAUCAAUACACUCAUCGAAGUAUAUUUCCAAAUUUGUGUCUUCCUUAUCCACAACUAUCACAUAUACAAAGCAAGAGAUUCCAUAACAAAAGGGCAAGAAAGACAUAUAUUCUGUAUAACAAGGUGAAACCUUUAAUACCUGGAACAACCUUGUAGACAAAAUCGCCAGGGUGGGCAGGUCUCAAGGAGCUAGCUACGGUUAAGAUAUGUGUAACGUUGCAAGACUUCAAUACGUUCUUGUUGGAAGCUGCUGCAAAGGAUCCGAGAUAGAGACCCUAGAAAAAAGAUUAAUGAAUCAAUUGGUUCCAGAAAAAACUAGGGAUGGAUGAUUGUUGCGAGGUGGAACCUCUUGGAUUAGGGAAGGGACAUUGUCUUGUCUAUAGACACGAACAAGCUCUUGUAUCCGAUUCUUCACAUAGGUUUCCUUAUCCAUUGCUGGCGAAGAUGAUGAUCCUUUGUCCCUAGAACUCCUGGAAAGGGAAAUGGAAUUGAAUCAUCUUUUAGUUUAAACUAGCUCAGCGAAAUUCGUAAUUGGAAGAAUUGAAUCUAAAAUCAAAGAGUUGAAUCUAUGUGUGAUCCUUUGAGAAAAACGAUUACAACUAUGGAGAUCGUAUCGUAUUAACAUGAAAAGAUGGAUUCGAUAACAUAAUUGAUCAGAUCUUACAUUGUAGAAAGAAGGGGGUGGUGGAUUAGCCAAAGAGGAGAAGAAAACAAAUCUGAGAGAUUACUAAUGGGGAAGUUUGCAACUGCAUGGUUCUCUCCAUCUUUUUGGAAAAGGAGAGGGACGAUGCGUCCCAGAGGGGAUAAAGUGUAAAUUAUUUGUUCUUCAAGGACUAGUUAUAUGUAAUUUGCUUUUUUUUUAUCAAAUAAUGAUUUUUGACUUGAGAUAUUUUUGUUUACAAUACUCACUUCGUUUUAACAAAGGCCAAAUUGGCCACAAAACAUAAGUUAAUUAGUAGAUCAUGCAACGGAAAAUAUAUUUAGAUAGUUGGAGAGAGAAACAGAGGCGAAAAGACUCACCUGACCCGGGGAACUUCACUUGUGUUGUAUAUAGCCUGCAGUGCUAGGGUAGGAUAGAUAGGUCUGCAAUAGGUUAAUACAUGUGUGGUCGAUCAAAAGGAAAAAAACAACAAGGAAUACAACUGCCCACAAAUUUACGAAGAUGAAAUCUUUAACUUACUCUUAUGGCAUUUGGAGAAAGGACAAAUAUUUUUUUUUAAACACUGUCUUUCUAACCAACGCAAGAUACAAAGGUAGGGAUACAUGGAUCGAAACAUUAAGCCGACUGACCAUCCAAACACGAAGAUGACAAAACUUGGGAGGAGAGAAAAUGCUUGGCUUGUGUAACUUACUGCUUCCUAAACGCCACUCGAAGCGCGUGGGAAACUUUCGAGAAACUCACGGGUUGUCAUGUCGGAGACAAAGCCGACAGCCUCUCCAAACUCAAACAAUGCUUCAGCUCCGCCUCCGCCGUCGCUAACGACUUCGACGACGGCGCGUCGGAGAUGAAGGAAGCUCCGGCGCUGUGGCGCGUUACUCGUUUUCCCCCGGGCAACAAAAAGUAAGAGUAAAUUAAGAUGAACCGGUCUUGUUCCUCCACAACACUUUGCUUUCCGUCCCACGAGUUCUGGUAUUCAUUUACUAUUGCCCCAGACAGACAAAGUAAAGAACCUCUAAUUUAGAGGUCUAGAGAACCUCGAAUUUAGAUUCACCAAAGACAGUAAUUUUGCAAGUGAGAUAGAAAUACAGAGAAGCGAUACCUUGUAAAGACUUUUCAAGGUCCUGCAAUUGCCUGAUGAAACCGGUGUUAGGAUUUGCCACGGGUCUAAUGCUCUGAACAUGCUGCAAUGCUUGGGUUAAAGUCAUUCCCUGUUUCUUCAUGAGGUAAGCAACAACUACAGUGACACUGCAAGUAAGUAUAAAAAGGAGCAAAACAUUCAGGGAACAAGGUCAAUUAAGUAAAGAACAUAAACGGGUGAAAGAAUAUAAGAAACCCGCGUGACUUUCCAACGAAGCAAUGGACAAGAACG
rnacentral:lncRNA from 1 species